UACGUAGGGUGCAAGCGUUGUCCGGAAUUAUUGGGCGUAAAGAGCUCGUAGGCGGUUUGUCGCGUCUGCUGUGAAAACUCGGGGCUUAACCCCGGGCCUGCAGUGGGUACGGGCAGACUAGAGUGCGGUAGGGGAGACUGGAAUUCCUGGUGUAGCGGUGAAAUGCGCAGAUAUCGGGAGGAACACCGGUGGCGAAGGCGGCCUGCUGGGCAGUUUUGCUGACACUGAGGCGCGACAGCGUGGGGAGCAAACAGG
rnacentral:rRNA from 1 species